rnacentral:hammerhead_ribozyme from 1 species
AGCCGAAACCCCCGGAAGGGGGUCGGGGUGGGGCGGCGCCCACCUCCUGACGAUGGCAGCCGCGA